GUAUUGAUUGCGUGUGACCGCAAAAUAAAUAAAUAAAAAGAACAUUCUACACUGUAUCAAGUUUUAUGUGAAAACGCAAGCCCUCCUGCAAAGGGGGGCCCACGCGGUGGUGCACAGGGUGAGAUGGAUUGUUUGAGAGCGCUCGGGCGUGCACGACAAAAAAGUCAGCGACAGCCCUUGCACCUCAGUUUUACGAUAAUGAUCCUUCCGCAGGUUCACCUACGGAAA
rnacentral:misc_RNA from 1 species